GCCCGUGCCUCUCCCUCCACACCUCCCCGCAACUGAGGGAGCCGGCUCCGGCCUCGGCCAGCCCAGAAAGGGGCUCACACAGUGCAGGGCCGGGCUGAAGGGCUCCUUAAGGGCGGCCAGAGUUGGCGCCAAGGCUGAGGAGGUGCCCAGAGCGAGCGAGGGCUGCCAGGGCUGCUAGCAGGCUGUCACCUCUCAAUAGCAGUUUUGUAUAUGGGAUCUAGCCCCUCCCUAAGAGGUUGAUUCUAAGGAAGCCAACAGCCGUGUUGUGAGUACCCAAUGGAAAGUCUGUUGUGGCAGAAAACUGAUGUCUCCAGCCAACAGCACUGAGGCCCUGAGACCUGCCAACUGUCAUGAUCUUCCGAUGCCUGGACACAGAAAGAGCAGUGGAAGGGGUCGUUGCAUGAGCAAAGACAAAGAGUGGGACACUGACUGUUACAUCUCAAGGAGAAGGAUUGCCAGAUCAAAAGUCUUGCAGUUAACCAGGCGUGGUGGCAGAUACCUGUAAUCCCAGCUAUUCGGGAGGCUGAGGCAGGAGAAUCGCUUGUACCCGGGAGGCAGAGGUUGCAGUGAGCUGAGACCGCGCCAUUGACUCCUGCCUGAUGACAAGAGAGAAUCUACGUCUCAACAACAACAACACGCUUGGGCACUGUAUUAACUCCAUAAUCGGUUUAUUCAUAAUGCUGCAUCAUCCAACCAUCAUCCAACCUAUUUAUCAUUCACAAUGCCACCUGUGAAUACUGGCUUCCAUUGACUCUUUCAAGAAUUGCUACUGGGCCUCACCAAUGUUGACCACAAAUGCAAGUCAUACUGAGAGCCUCUGUGCUCUUUCCCCUGUGGACAAUAACUACCAUUUCAUCCUGGACACCCAUUGUUUGCCUGGACCACACCUUGUUAUGACCAUAACCCUCAGUCAGACUCAACCUUCCUUCAAGAUCUGCAGAUCUAAAUUUUAUUGGGAACAGCUAGUUUGACAAGCAUAGACCAGAUGUCCAGUUGUCAUUCAUUCAGCAGGAGCAGCAAGAUUCAAUCAUGUUUUUAUUAUAUUAUUUCCUGAAACUUGUGGCUGUAACAAUGAAGUUUGAGGAUUGGUCUGUGUAAGUAUGGCAGAAGUGAUGUUAAGUCGCUUAUGAGAUUAGGGUAUAAAAGACUAAGGCUUCCAUGCUUCCAUCUUGGUCUCUGUCUCUCAGAGAACAGUCAUGUGAAUGAUUCUUCUUGAAAGUAAAUCUUCCAGCCCCAGUCCAGUAUUCAAAUGAUCCAGCAACAUUGCAACUUAUGAGAGACCUUGAGCCAUCCAGGUAACAUGCUUCCAAAUCCUGACCCUUAAAACCUGUAAAAUAAUAAAUGUGGUUUUAAACUCUUAAGUAAUUUGUUACAUAGUAAUAAAUAGCUAAUACACCGUC